GGUUAGAAGAGAACAAGGAUUUUUUAAUAAUCUGUUUCGUAAAGUAUAAUAUGAAACAGAUCACAAGGAAUUUUUCAGCAUGACAAGAAUGCUUCCAGAACAAUUUGAUCAAUUGUGCGACAGAGUGAGGUUAUAUCUUACAAAAAGGAGUAAUCGAACACCAAUAUCAGUGGAAGAACGAUUGGCAGUAACCUUACACUCAUGGUGAUAGCGUGAGAUCAAAGUCAUGGGAAUAUUGUAUUGGCAGAUCAACAGCUUAUAAAAUUAUUGGAGAAACAUGUGAUGCUACCUAGAAAGCUCUUCGAAAAGAAUAUCUACCAUGGCCAAGAAAAGAGAGAUGGACAGAGAUAAUAAAUGAAUUUUAUAAUGAAUGGAAUUUCCCUAAUUGUAUUGUGGCGUUAGAUGGUAAUAAACACAUCUCAAUUUAAGCACCUCCGAAUAGUAAUUCCAUGCAUUGCAACUAUAAAAAAAUGUAUAGUUUUAUAUUGAUGGCCACUUGUGACGCAAAUUAUAAAUUUUUCAUGGGUUGAUGUUGGCGACAUCAUAUGAUUAGUAUUAUGGGUCAAACAGUGAUGGUGGAGUGUGGGCAAAUAAUGAACUUAGAAAAAGUUUAGCAUCUCAGACUGAUGAUCUGCCACCUCCAACAACUCUUCCUGGUACACUAACUAAAUGCAUUAUCAUGUGCUUUUGUAGCAGAUGAUGCUUUCCCGUUGAAACGCUAUUUAAUGAGGCCAAAUGCAAGAAGAUCAUUGAAGAUAGAUUCGGAAAGGAUUUUUAAUUAUCGUUUAUCAAGAGCAAGAAGGACCAUAGAAAACAGUUUUGAUAUUCUCGUAUCUCGUUGGAGAAUUUUACGCAAAGCAAUACAAAGAAGAGAGCUCACAAAUUAAUUCU